UACGGAGGAUCCGAGCGUUAUCCGGAUUUAUUGGGUUUAAAGGGUGCGCAGGCGGGAGAUUAAGUCGGCGGUGAAAUUUUGCAGCUCAACUGUAAAAGUGCCUUCGAAACUGGUUUCCUUGAGUGUGGAUGGAGUAGGCGGAAUUUGUGGUGUAGCGGUGAAAUGCAUAGAUAUCACGAGGAACUCCGAUUGCGCAGGCAGCUUACUAAACUACUACUGACGCUCAGGCACGAAGGCGUGGGGAUCAAACAGGAUUAGAUACCCUGGUA
rnacentral:rRNA from 1 species